rnacentral:rRNA from 1 species
GAUGAACGCUGGCGGCGUGCCUAAUACAUGCAAGUCGAGCGAACAGACGAGGAGCUUGCUCCUCUGAUGUUAGCGGCGGACGGGUGAGUAACACGUGGAUAACCUACCUAUAAGACUGGGAUAACUUCGGGAAACCGGAGCUAAUACCGGAUAAUAUAUUGAACCGCAUGGUUCAAUAGUGAAAGACGGUCUUGCUGUCACUUAUAGAUGGAUCCGCGCUGCAUUAGCUAGUUGGUAAGGUAACGGCUUACCAAGGCGACGAUGCGUAGCCGACCUGAGAGGGUGAUCGGCCACACUGGAACUGAGACACGGUCCAGACUCCUACGGGAGGCAGCAGUAGGGAAUCUUCCGCAAUGGGCGAAAGCCUGACGGAGCAACGCCGCGUGAGUGAUGAAGGUCUUCGGAUCGUAAAACUCUGUUAUUAGGGAAGAACAAAUGUGUAAGUAACUAUGCACGUCUUGACGGUACCUAAUCAGAAAGCCACGGCUAACUACGUG